rnacentral:rRNA from 1 species
CGUGCAGGCGGUUUCGUAAGUCGGACGUGAAAGCUCCUGGCUUAACUGGGAGAGGCCGUUCGAUACUGCGGGACUUGAGGUUGGGAGAGGGACGUGGAAUUCCCGGUGUAGUAGUGGAAUGCGUAGAUAUCGGGAGGAACACCAGUGGCGAAGGCGGCGUCCUGGCCCACACCUGACGCUGAGACGCGAAAGCGUGGGUAGCGAACG